UACGAAGGGGGCUAGCGUUGUUCGGAUUUACUGGGCGUAAAGCGCACGUAGGCGGAUCGUUAAGUCGGGGGUGAAAUCCUGGAGCUCAACUCCAGAACUGCCUUCGAUACUGGCGAUCUUGAGUCCGGAAGAGGUGAGUGGAACCCCUAGUGUAGAGGUGGAAUUCGUAGAUAUUAGGAAGAACACCAGUGGCGAAGGCGGCUCACUGGUCCGGUACUGACGCUGAGGUGCGAAAGCGUGGGGAGCAAACAGG
rnacentral:rRNA from 1 species